GGUUCAGGGUCUCGGGGUCAGUCACCAAGGCAUUUUUGAGGUCAGGAAAGGGGGCUCAGGAGAGGCCCCCACAAAUGGGGGCUGGAGAGCCAGCCUCCCUCUCACCAAGUCCGGCCCAGGUGUCCCUGUGUGGUCCGGGCCCCCACCGUCCCCUCUGCCCGGACCUCUGGCCCCUCCGAAGAUCCCGCCUCCCGGGGCAGGAGUGGCUGGGCCACUCUGGCCUGUCUGCCGGCCGGCCGUGGCCUGGGAGUGACGGUGGCCCCACAGAGGGUCUCAGGACCCUCUGGCCCAGGUGGGAUGCGGGCGGACAGCCCAGGGAACCAGGACUCGGCAGUCGGCCUCCGUGUAGCGCCUGGAGACCCGCCGGUCUCAGGCGGCCGGGGCGACACCAGGCAGGGUGACAGGGGUUUUUGUGGGGUGGCGACGGGGUAUCGGCCACUGUGACUACUACGGUAUGGAUUACUGGGGCCAAGGGACCCUGGUCACCGUCUCUUCAGAGAGCUCGUCACCCCCGUCGCUGUUCCCCCUGGUCUCCUGCGACGGCGCCGUGCUGGAUGCGAGCACGGUGGUGGUGGGCUGCCUGGCCCGGGACUUCCUGCCCGACUCCGUGUCCUUCUCCUGGAACUACAAGAACUCCUCCGCCGUCAGCAGCGUCCGGACCUUCCCGUCCGUGCUGAGGGAGGGCAGGUACACGGCCACCUCGCAGGUGCUGCUGCCCUCCAAGGACGUGCUGCAGGGCACCGACGAGCACGUGGUGUGCAAGGUGCGGCACAACAACGGCAACAAGGACCUGGACGUGCCGCUGCCAGUGGUGACUGUUGAGGCCCCCACCGUGACCGUGUUCAUCCCGCCUCGAGACACCUUCUCCAGCACCAGCUCCCGCACGUCCAAGCUCCUCUGCCAGGUCACAGGCUUCCGCCCCCGGCAGAUCGCCGUGUCCUGGCUGCGCGAGGGGAAGCUGGUGGAGUCCGGCAUCACCACGGGCCCGGUGGAGCCGGAGGCCAACGGGUCUGGGCCCUCCACCUUCAAGGUCACCAGCACACUGACUGUCAACGAGAGCGACUGGCUUAUCCAGACCGUGUUCACCUGCCGCGUGGAACACAGCGGCCUGACCUUCCUGAAGAACGUGUCCUCCACGUGUGGCACCAGCCCCUCCGCAGGCAUCCGCGUCUUCACCAUCCCCCCCUCGUUUGCCAGCAUCUUCCUCACCAAGUCAGCCAAGCUGUCCUGCCUGGUCACUGACCUGGCCACCUAUGACAGCCUGACCAUCUCCUGGACCCGCCAGAACGGCAAGGCCCUGAAAACCCACACCAACAUCUCCGAGAGCCACCCCAACGCCACCUUCAGCGCCCUGGGCGAGGCCAGCAUCUGCGAGGACGAGUGGGACUCCGGGGAGAGGUUCACGUGCACCGUGACCCACUCGGACCUGCCCGCGCCGCUCAAGCAGAGCCUCUCCAAGCCCAAGGGUGUGGCCCUGCACAAGCCGGACAUCUACAUGCUGCCACCGGCCCGGGAGCAGCUGAGCCUGCGGGAGGCGGCCACCAUCACCUGCCUGGUGAAGGGCUACUCCCCCGCGGACGUGUCCGUGCAGUGGAUGCAGAGGGGGCAGCCCGUGUCCCCGGACAAGUACGUGACCAGCGCCUCGGCGCCCGAGCCCCACGCCCCAGGCCUCUACUUCACCCACAGCUUCCUGACCGUGUCCGAGGAGGAGUGGAGCUCGGGGGAGGCCUUCACCUGCGUCGUGGUCCACGAGGCCCUGCCCAACAGGGUCACCGAGAGGACCGUGGACAAGUCCACCGAGGGGGAGGUGAGUGCUGAGGAGGAGGGCUUCGAGAGCUUGUGGACCACUGCCUCCACCUUCAUCGUCCUCUUCCUCCUGAGCCUCUUCUACAGCACCACUGUCACCUUGUUCAAGGUGAAAUGACCCCCCCGCGCCCCCCCCCCACGGAAGAGCAUCGGAGACCAAAGACCCGGGACCAGAGGGGCACCACGUCCGAGCCUGGGGCCACCCGGCCUACGUGUCCUGCUGGCUUGUACUCAACUCCCCGCCGUGUUGCCUGCAGCUCUGAGCUCCAAAUGCAGGCUUCUCUCUGACCGGCUGGACGCCCAUUGCGUGGGGCUGCAGCACAGGGUCUGCCCAGCACUGCUUUGCCACGUGCGCUUGUACCCUACAAUAAACGUGUAUUUUAUCUUGUGAAA